rnacentral:rRNA from 1 species
AGCGAACGCUGGCGGCAGGCCUAAUACAUGCAAGUCGAGCGCACCUUCGGGUGAGCGGCGGACGGGUGAGUAACGCGUGGGAAUGUGCCCUUUGGUACGGAACAACUGAGGGAAACUUCAGCUAAUACCGUAUGUGCCCUUCGGGGAAGAUUAUCGCCAUUGGAGCAGCCCGCGUUGGAUUAGGUAGUUGGUGGGGUAAAGGCUCACCAAGCCUACGAUCCAUAGCUGGUCNGAGAGGAUGAUCAGCCACAUUGGGACUGAGACACGGCCCAAACUCCUACGGGAGGCAGCAGUGGGGAAUCUUGCGCAAUGGGCGAAAGCCUGACGCAGCCAUGCCGCGUGGAUGAUGAAGUCUUAGGAUUGUAAAAUCCUUUCACCGGGGACGAUAAUGACGGUACCCGGAGAAGAA